rnacentral:rRNA from 1 species
UACGGGGGGGGCAAGCGUUGUUCGGAAUUACUGGGCGUAAAGGGCUCGUAGGCGGCCAACUAAGUCGGAUGUGAAAUCCCCAGGCUCAACUUGGGAACUGCGUCCGAUACUGGCAGGCUUGAAUCCGGGAGAGGGAUGCGGAAUUCCAGGUGUAGAGGUGAAAUUCGUAGAUAUCGAGAGGAACACCGGUGGCGAAGGCGGCCAACUGGACGAACACUGACGCUGAGACUCGAAAGCGUGGGGAGCAAACAGG